rnacentral:rRNA from 1 species
AUUGAACGCUGGCGGCAUGCCUUACACAUGCAAGUCGAACGGUAACAGGUUAAGCUGACGGGUGGCGAACGGGUGAGUAAUAUAUCGGAACGUGCCCAGUCGUGGGGGAUAACUGCUCGAAAGAGCAGCUAAUACCGCAUACGACCUGAGGGUGAAAGCGGGGGAUCGCAAGACCUCGCGCGAUUGGAGCGGCCGAUAUCAGAUUAGCUAGUUGGUGGGGUAAAAGCCUACCAAGGCAACGAUCUGUAGCUGGUCUGAGAGGACGACCAGCCACACUGGGACUGAGGCACGGCCCAGACUCCUACGGGAGGCAACAGUGGGGAAUUUUGGACAAUGGACGAAAGUCUGAUCCAGCCAUGCCGCGUGCGGGAAGAAGGCCUUCGGGUUGUAAACCGCUUUUGUCAGGGAAGAAAAGGUUCUGGUUAAUACCUGGGACUCAUGACGGUACCUGAAGAAUAAGCACCGGCUAACUACGUGCCAGCCGCCGCGGUAA